rnacentral:tRNA from 1 species
UAUUUUCGUAGCUAAGAAAAGUGAGUGACUCUUAAUCACUUGAUGCAGAUUUCUGCCGAAAAUAU